rnacentral:rRNA from 1 species
UACGGGGGGGGGCAAGCGUUGUUCGGAAUUACUGGGCGUAAAGGGCGCGUAGGCGGUCUACUAAGUUGGAUGUGAAAACUCUGGGCUUAACCCAGAGCCUGCAUUCAAAACUGAUAGGCUGGAGUUCUGGAGGGGAUAGCGGAAUUCCUGGUGGAGCGGUGAAAUGCGUAGAUAUCAGGAGGAACACCGGUGGCGAAGGCGGCUAUCUGGACAGAAACUGACGCUGAGGCACGAAAGCGUGGGGAGCAAACAGG